CUUCCCAAAUCCAGUGGAACAGGCUUUCCACAUGAAGAUGAUAUUCCACGAUUCGAUCAACGAACAAGAAAUCAUGCUCCACUUCCUCCACCUCGUCCAAUUAUUCUCCCUAACCCACAAGUUCAAAGGCUCGAAAAGUUCAAGCUCACUCAAGCCCUUUUGGCAAGUAAACAUGAAGAGGGAAAGUCGGUGUGUGCACACGUCCUAGGGAUGAAGUCACACAUUGAUAGGUUAAGAAUGUUGGGAUCCGUUGUCUGUGAGGAGAUGGCUGUUGAUUGGGUUCUUCAGUCACUUCCUAACUCGUAUAGUGAGUUCGUAAGAGAGUACUAUAUGAUGAACUGCGACGUGACCCUUAUAGAUCUCACCUAUAUGCUUAUUGUUGCUGAAUCAGCAAUGGUUUGGCUCAAUAGAAAAGCAAAGUUGAUUGGUGAAUCUGCCUUCAAGACCUUUAUGGAUAUAGACAAUGGCAACGAAAGACAUGGUAUGAUUGAAAAGUUUGAUCAUAAGAGAAAGGCAAUGUCUGAAGUAGUUCCAUGUCGUGUUCCAAAAGAGUCAAUUUGCUUUUAUUGCCUAAAGAAGGGGCAUUGGAGACGAAGCUGCCCUAUUUACCUAAGAGAUCUAAGAGAUGGGAGAGUCAAAACGUAUGGCUCUGCUUUAGGUAAAAUCCAUUGACUAACUCUUUUAAGCUCCUAUUCUAGAUUCUUAAUACAUAAUGUGAUAAGAUUACAAUUGAUGUUUUGUAGGAUCGAAGAAAAGAGAGGAAGCUUAAGGGAAGAAGUGAGCAGAAUCUAACCGUGAAGAAAUGGAUUUCGAUCGCAUUACUUGAAGAUUAGAUUCUUGAGCUACUACUUAGAGUUAGAAUUAGAUUGCUAAGAAAGAUGUAUUAGCAUAGUUUUUCAAUGAAUUGCAUUGUAAGGACAAAUUUUUUCCGCAAUAAAAUAAAUUUUGAUUUUAUAUUAUUUAUUUAUCCUUGCAAUGGCGUAUAUGAAAAAUUGAUGUUAAAAUGUUUCUAUUAUUAGCAAUAAUGGAUUUGGUUCUUAUUAUGUUAUUUAUGGAAAGUCGAGAAUUUACCAAAUAGGGAGAGUUUCUCAUCGCCCAAGUUUCAAUUGGACAGAAACUUGGAAUCAUGCAACUUGGUUGCACGAUGAAUGAGAAAUUUCAUAUUUGGAAAUUAGACUAAUUCAUUGACAAAGUGUCAAGUGAAGGACUAGGAGAUCGAGUACACAAAGUUGCGUGUUGAUCAAGUCCACCAUAAGAGUAACAAAGAUAUUCGUCAUGAUUUACUAAAGGUUUAGUAAAUAUGAUUAUACUUAUAAGAUUAAGUGUAAUUCUGAAUUGAUUGAAAAAGUUUAAAUCAAUAGCAGAACGAAUAAGAAGAAUCAAGUAGGCAGAAAGAUAAAAGUUUCUCCAUUCUAAGAAGAAGGGAGAGUACCUUUUAUGCUUUAUGAUAGGUCUUAAUGAUUAAGAACCAUAUCUCAAUUGAUCCUCUAAGUGAGUCUUAGUACAAUUGUAUGUCUAAGAAGAGGAAUCAAGAAUUGAAGAAAUGGUUAAAUCAAGAAGUCAAUCAUACUUCGUUCCAAAACAAGUCUUAGAGUUAAGAUUGUGAAAUUGAGUGAUAAGUAUUAAGAAGGUUUAUAACAUUCAUCAAAUGUGGAAAGUUGUGAUGUCUUGGAUAAGACAAAGACCAACUAGGACCAAUUUAUGAAGUGUUUUGAUAAAAACUACACUAACUCUUGAAUAUUUGUUUGUCAAGAAAUGUUUAUUGACAAGAGAAUCUUAUAUGUCAAGGAGUCAGUGGGAGUCUUAAUGGUCUUGAAAGGUUUCAAGAACAAAUCAAAAUAGACCUUAUCGAUCAUCACUAGCACACGAGUUGAGGUUUACAACCUAUCGUGUUGACACUAUAUUGUUUCUGUGCCAUUCCAAUUGAGUUAAUUAUGCAUGUGAGCUCUAUGAGUUCUCAUUUGAAUGCAUAAAAGGCAAGGACCUUGAUCAAUGAAAAGUACAUUGAUAGGAAAGGGUGAGCUGCUUAACUACUUGGAAGACAUGGUGGGCAGCUGUGUUACCAUAAGGCAAGAAGUCAAGAUUAAGAAAGUUCGGUCCAUAUGAGUUUGAAUUUGUCGUAAACUUUGGUUUUGACAAAUUCACAUGGAUAGGAACACAUACACCAUUAAAAGCUAAGUUUCAUAAGAUUCCCUCCUUCAUGAAAGUGACUGUGAGGAAAUGCUUUCACUUAGAAAGAUUUUAAGAAAAUAGUGAUUGUGAAAUUGAAUUCUCGAAUUCGAUUAUGGUUACGGUAUCCCUUUCCAUGAUUCGAAUUGUGAGAUUUGGCAAUUAGUCUGAAUUGUUUAGACACACAUAUGAGCUAUCUAAGGGAAAGGUGUAUAAGCUUAGAUAAAGGAUUAUCAAAGCAUUAGGUAUUAGAAACAUGAACUUAAGAAAUUCAAUAAGCAUUGUUUUUCAGGAAGUUAAGCUGGUUUCUGAAUACAUGUCAAAGCUAGUGGGAGCAUAAGUGUUAUGUUUAUAAUAAUCAUCAUGAUAGUGGGAGCAUAAAUGUUAUGAUUGUAUGAUUAUUAUGGAAAGAAUUACAAGUUAGCAAUAUUAAUUAUAGAAAACAAGAGUUAUAAAUGUUGAAAAGUUGUUUUCCUAUAAUUAAGGGAGAGAAUAAUAUGCUUCAUUUCGAAUCUAAAGGCUUAGGUUGUGGAAUGUUAAUAAUUUAGUCAAGGAAACAUAGUUUGUUCACAAAUUUCGAUUAUGAUUACGAAAUCCCUCUUCAUAGUUUGAAUUGUGAGAACGUGACACAUAAAAUAUUAUGGCAGAAGAUUGAUAAAGUAUCAUNAUAUUAUGGAAGAAGAUUGAUAAAGUAUCAAAUCUUUAUGUAAGACGUUGUGCAUCGUGUCCUAUACGUUUCGGGUAUAGGAUCGAUUGCAAAUGCUAUAAUAUUUAACCAUUCUAAAAUUUUCCAAAUGUCUAGCGCAUUUAGAGGGAAAAAGGACAAGAAUCGGUUUUUACUAAGAAAAUUAAACAACUAUCAAAGGACAAUCCAAAGUUCGCCGAGGAUUGGUCGCUUGUGGGUAGUUGGAAGUAUAGUAUUGGAUGGACCAUAUCGACAUUAUUAUGAAUAGAUAAGAUUCUAUUAAGAAUGAGUUGUCAUAUGGAAAAUAUGGAAACGUGUCCAUAUUGGGAAUUGAAUAUUGAAAAUCUAUGUCUAGAUUAGAAACUUUUAUGCAAAAGGAUGUUCAAAGGAAUGUACUUUGAGUGAGAGACAUCAUAUCUAAGGAAUUGUAUUGUAACAAUCUCCGAUAGAGGACUUUGUAAUAUCAUUGGCAAUAGUCUUUGUGACUUUGGUGCAGUGACAUUACGAAAGGAUAGUUGCAUAGAAUGUUAGAAUCUAGCAUAUUCUAUAAGUAGCAAGAAUUUGAUAUUCUUUCACUUAUGAAAAAGGAUUUGGAGUUGUGAAAUGAGAAUGAUUGGAAAUGUGUUCAAUUUGAUCUAUUUCACAAAGUAAGAACCAUAGGUAAACAUUGUGUGCAUGCUAAGAGCAUGGGACAAGUGUAAUAAUUCAAGUAAGAAGUUGAUUACCCGAAACGACAAAUAAUGAGUAAUCGAUAUGGUGAUAAAUAAAAGGUGUUUUAUUUAUACUCAAAGGUUUGAGGCCAUAUGGGAUUAGUAUUAUUCUUGUGUUUCACUUUGCAUGUUUUGACUUCCUGAAUAAUUUAAUUGGUUAAGAACAGUCAAAUUAUUCGAACGGGCCACAGUCGUUCAUAUGUUGGAAGUAGGUAUGAAUGAAGACUGUCGUGAAUUGGUGUGUGGAUUGUCUAAAGAGUAUUAGACAUAAGCAAAUGUUUGCUGCAACGUUCAUGAGUGCUUAUGAAUAUGAUUUGAGCAUUGGAUUAAACCCACGCUCACUUGGAUCACUCCAUGAAUUGUAUCACGAGUGAUUGGUGAGACGAUAACAUCUUAUAUUCUUGAAACCGAGAUGUGUGAGUUGUAUCUUGCAAAUCGGUUGCACAUUGAUAAUAUGUAAACGCACCAGUAACUUGGUGUCAUAAAACAUAUUGUUGUGUGUGAUUCGGUGAGUGAGUGCAAGCGAGCAUUGAAUCAAAGUUUAUCCGUUCCUUUUAUCCAAAGUAGGAUAAAAGCGAUAUCUUUGGGCCCCUCGAUGAUUUAGUGAUGACAAACGUAAAUGCUCGGCCGGGCUAGGGCUAAUUUGAUUUGUUCAAUUAGUCAGUCGUCAUAAAUCGGAAGUCGAGAAAUAGUACAGAGAGAAUGAUUAGAAAUCAUGUCUUACGAUAUCUAGAAUGGAGGAAUAUAUGAUCCCUUAUCUAAAGGACACGCGUAUCUGAUAGGAUCAGAGUUGACAGCGGCUUUGGAAAGCUACGAUUGCAGAUCAGGAUCUGAAGUCAUACGCAGAAUAGUUAUUAGACUUAUCCAAGUGGGAGACUGUUGGAUUAGUGUCUAAGUCCAUAACUAUUUUGGUAUGUACUUGACCCGAUGGUGCAUGGUCCUUUUGGGUUGCCUUCACCAAAGCAACUUGAUAGGAUGAAUUAUGGAGAGAAAGGAUUAAAUAUGAUUUAUUAAUAUAUUAUGAGAAUAAUAUAUUAAAGGAGAAAUCAUAUUGUUUAAUUAAUAUUAGUCAAGAAUUAAUAAGAAUUAAGUUUGUGACUAAAAGAGAUUAAUUAAACUUAAGGGACUGGAAUUGUAAUUAUAAGAUAAUUGCAAUUGGGCCAUGGAUUGCCUUAUAUUAUAAGGUUGGACGAAUUAUAUGGGGAAACCCAUUAGAAAUCAUCCAAGGCCUUUAAGGAAAGGAGUUCAUGGGUUGCUUAGGGCUUAAGCAUCCAAAUUAGGGUUUCCUUGUUAGAUAACCCUAAUAGCCUCCCUAUUUAAGGAGCCCUUAUGCCUCAAAAACGUGGAUAAGCUUUCUUCUAGGGUUUCCACAUGUUUUGGGCAACCUCCUUCUCUUCUCCUAUUCAUCCUCUUGCUCUUGGUGUUUGUGAACCAUUAAAGGAGUGACAUUUGUGACUCUAAGCUUUCUAAAGUCAUUACAAGGAGGAUUUGAGAUUGUUAUUGCUACAUAACAAUCAAGGUAUGAUCUAAACCCUAAUUAUAUGUUAUAUUGAAUAUCAUAUGCUAGAUCUAGGGUUUAUAGUCUUUGAUAAAUUGCAUGUACAAUAGAGAAACCUAGAUCCAAGCAUUAGGGUUUAUAUGAGCACGUAGGAUGUUCUUAUGACCAAAACCCAUCAGUUUCUUCGAGAAACCAGAUUUCUGUUGGAUUAGUGUCUAAAUCCAUAACUAUUUUGGUAUGUANNNNNNNNNNNNNNNNNNNNNNNNNNNNNNNNNNNNNNNNNNNNNNNNNNNNNNNNNNNNNNNNNNNNNNNNNNNNNNNNNNNNNNNNNNNNNNNNNNNNCCUCCUAUAUAUAUAGAUCCCUUAUGACCCAAAAACGUGGUGAAGCUUUGCUCUAGGGUUUCACACGUUUUUGGGCAGCCUCCUUCUCUUCUCCUAUUCAUCCUCUUGCUUAUGGUGUUUGUGAACCAUUAGAGGAGUGACAUUUGUGACUCUAAGCUUUCUAAAGUCAAUACAAGGAGGAUUUGGGAUUGUUAUUGCUACAUAACAAUCAAGGUAUGAUCUAAACCCAUUCUUAUGUUAAUAUGAUUACUUGUAUGCUAGAAUUAGGGUUUAUAGUCUUGGAUAACUUGCAUGUACAAUAGAGAAACCUAGAUCCAAGCGUUAGGGUUUGUAUGAGCACAUAGGAUGUUCUUAUGACCAAAACCCAACAGUGGUAUCAGAACCUAGACUGGUUUAAAUUGUAUUGAUGCAAUGUAUGAUUGAAAAAUUCGAUUUUUUGUUUUUGGAGGCUGGACUCGCCGAGUUUUUAGAUGAACUCGCCGAGUUCAUGCUAACUCGACGAGUCCAUACCUGACUCGACGAGUCGGUUGGUCAGAUGGAGGGAAAACCGGGAUUUCUUGCUUCUUUUGAUGAAGGAUAGUUGCCUUAUCAUAUUAGAUCAAUAUAAAUCCGAUUUUAUGAUAUAUUUGACUAUAUUCUUGAUCUAAUUGAAGAUAUUUAUCAAUUAAUAAAAUAUUUGUUUCCUUAUGUGAUAAUUGAUUAAUUAUUUUGAUUAAAUUGGUAAAUUGUUUUGCAAGAAAUCAUUAAAUAAAUCAAAUAUGGAUAAUUAUGUGAUUAAAUGUUAAUUUAGAUUAUUUGUUAUUUGAUCCUUGUGCUUUGAAAAGUUUCAUAUUUUCCCCUUUAGGUUUUAUAGUUUAAAUUUGAACCCAAAAGUUUUGUUGUUUUGAAAUUUAAAUAGUUAAAGCCCUAAUGUUUUGAAAAAUGUUUCAAAACUUGCCCUCGAGUUUUGGAAUUUAAAUUUUGAAUUAAUAGGUUAAUUUUGAUGUAUAUUUAAAUUCUAAACCCAAAUGUUUUGAAAUGUUUCAAAACAUGCCCUCAAGUUUUGGAAUUUAAAAGUUGAUCAAAGGUUUAAUUAAGAAUGUUAAAUUCUAAAACCCUAGUGAUGUUUUGAAAAGUUCAAAUCACACCCCUUAUGGUUUUAUUAAUUAAUUAAGGUGUAUAAUUAAAAGAGGUUUAAUAAAUCCAUAAAAGUUUUGGUUUACAAUUUAAUUGAAUUAAAAGUAUAAUUGUUAAAUUUAACCACCUAGUAUUUUAAAAGUGUAAAAUACACCCUAUACUAUAUAUAUAAAAUUAAAAGUCUAACAUUAUAUAUAUGUAUGAGUAAAAGUCAGUCUUACCGUUAGUAGGCCUCAUUCACGAAGCUGGUCUAUAAGGGGUGUUUAAGGAAAUUGCCUAUAAAAUGGCGAUUGAAUGGGUAUCCACUCUUACCCACCGCACUCUUGACUAGUGGAGGGUCGUUAGCCGAACGGGUAGGAUAGGACAAAACCUUCCAUUAUAAGUAUAAUGAAUUAUAAAAGUAACUAAAUGUUUUCAUAAAAUUCCCAAUCUUAGUUACUUAGGCAAAAGUGAAUUGAUGCAAUUCCAUGAAAUUACACUUUGUGCCCUUGCGAAGACGUUAGUGGAGCGUGUGUGGUUUACCGGCACACUAAAUGGUUCUAAGCAAAGGUAGCAAAGGGUGACUCAAUGUUUGUCAUAGUUCGGUGGAGCGUGUGUGGUUUACCGGCACAUCGAAUAGGUGACUGUAACAUGUGAGGGCACCAUGUAAGUUUGCAUGGUUAUUCACACCCGCUUUGUGAUCCUCGGCAUCCCAGUCACAAACAAGAGGGGCAUAUCGAGAUUUAAACAUGCCAUUGAAAGUUCAAUGAAUCUCAAAGGAUCUAGGAGUUUUCAUAGAUUUAAAACUUAAAUUUCUUUUUCGUUUUUCAUGGUGGAAAUUAGUGAAUCGUCAUUCACUUACCUUCAAAUAUUCUGCAAUUAGGGUUACGGCAUCCCUCUCCCGAGUUGUAGAAUAUUGUGUUGGGUCCUAGCCUUAGUAUCUCAUUUGGGUGAUUUACUAAGGACUCAAUCAAUCAACUAACUUGAAUUCGUUUUCUCCCGUUUUGUAGAUGUCAAAGUUCGACAACUAUGGUCUUCCCAAAUCCCAUGGAACAAGCCUUCCACAUGAAGAUGAUAUUCCAUGAUUCGAUCGAGGAACAAGAAAUCUUGCUUCACUUCCUCCACCUCCUCCAAUUAUUCUCCCUAACCCACAAGUUCGAAGGCUUGAAAAGUUGAAGCUCGCUCAAGCCCUUUUGGCAAGUAAACAUAAAGAAGGAAAGUCGGUGUGUGCACACGUCCUAGGGAUGAAGUCACACAUUGAUAGGUUAAGAAUGUUGGGAUCCGUUGUUUGUGAGGAGAUGGCUGUUGAUUGGGUUCUUCAGUCACUUACUAAAUCAUAUAGUGAGUUCGUAAGAGAGUACUAUAUGAUGAACUGCGACGUGACCCUUAUAGACCUCACUUAUAUGCUUAUUGCUACUGAAUCAGCAAUGGUUUGGCGCAAUAGAAAAGCAAAGUUGAUUGGUGAAUCUGCCUUCAACACAUCUAUGGAUAUAGACAAUGGCAACGAAAGACAUGCUAUGAUCGAAAAGUCUGAUCAUAAGAGAAAGGCAAUGUCUGAAGUAGUUCCAUGUCAUGUUCCAAAGGAUUCAAUUUACUUUUAUUGCCAAGAGAAGGGGCAU
rnacentral:lncRNA from 1 species